rnacentral:piRNA from 1 species
UGUAUCUGUGAUCCUAGCACUGGGGA